GAUGAACGCUGGCGGCGUGCUUAAUACAUGCAAGUCGAGCGGAAAGGCGCUGCUCUUGCGGGGUGCACGUGUGCCGAACGGGUGUGUGAAACGCGUGUAACCUGCCCUUGUAUUUCGGAUAACUCCAGGGAACUCGGGAGAAAAUCGGAUAGAAGCUCCUGAACCGUGGGGGUGGUUGGUAAAUUUCGGCGUUGCGGGAUGGACUCGAGGCAUAUGAGCUGGUUGGGGGGGUAGUGGCUGACCAAGGCUUUGACGGGUAGCCGGCCUGAGAGGGUGGACGGCCACAUUGGGACUGAGAUACGGCCCAGACUCCUACGGGAGGCAGCAGUGGGGAAUAUUGCACAGUGGGCGGAAGCCUGAUGCAGCAACGCCGCGUGCGGGAUGACGGCCUUCGGGUUGUAAACCGCUUUCGCCUGAGACGAAGCGUGAGUGACGGUAAUGGGUAAAGAAGCACCGGCUAACUACGUG
rnacentral:rRNA from 1 species